AUCGCAUGUUCCUGCAAGUAAAUGGACGGACCCUCCGGGGCCGUCUGCUGACAGAGGUGGUUGCGGCCCAUCAGCUAGUUGGUAGGGUAAUGGCCUACCAAGGCUACGACGGGUAGCCGGCCUAAGAGGGUGGUCGGCCGCACUGGGACUGAGACACUGCCCAGACUCCUACGGGAGGCUGCAGUCGAGAAUCUUCCGCAAUGGGCGAAAGCCUGACGGAGCGACGCCGCGUGGAGGACGAAGGCCUUCGGGUUGUAAACUCCUGUCACGAGUUAAGAAGGCUCGAGGACGAACAGUCUUCGGGUUUGACGUAAGCUCGAGAGGAAGCACUGGCUAACUCUGUG
rnacentral:rRNA from 1 species